rnacentral:rRNA from 1 species
AUACGUAGGGUGCGAGCGUUGUCCGGAAUUACUGGGCGUAAAGAGCUCGUAGGCGGUUUGUCGCGUCGUCUGUGAAAUUCCGGGGCUUAACUCCGGGCGUGCAGGCGAUACGGGCAUAACUUGAGUACUGUAGGGGAGACUGGAAUCCCUGGUGUAGCGGUGAAAUGCGCAGAUAUCAGGAGGAACACCGGUGGCGAAGGCGGGUCUCAGGGCAGUAACUGGCGCUGAGGAGCGAAAGCAUGGGUAGCGAACAGGAUUAGAUACCCUGGUAGUCCAUGCCGUAAACGGUGGGCGCUAGGUGUAGGGGUCUUCCACGACUUCUGUGCCGUAGCUAACGCGUUAAGCGCCCCGCCUGGGGAGUACGGCCGCAAGGCUAAAACUCAAAUGAAUUGACGGGG